rnacentral:pre_miRNA from 1 species
AUAGGAAUUACCUGCAAAUCUUGUUAAAAUGCCAAUUCUGACUCAGUAGGUCAGGAGUGGAGCCAAGAUUCUGCAUUUCUAACAAGCUCUGAGGUGAUUAGAAU